UAUGCUAACGUCUCAGCAUUGUCCGAAUGGGGCGGCCUCUCCUGAAUUGUGCCGAGGAACGGGUCUUCACUUUCUUCAAAAUACAAAGAACCUGAUUUAAGGGCAUCUACACAGACUGCUCUCGUGCUCUUGGCGAGUUUGCAUGCUAGUCCACAUUUGGCACCUCUCCACUGUGGCACGAAUUGUUCCGGAAUCGACAUUAGGACUCCCAUUAACGCUGCAAAGUAAAAGCGAGAUUUGCUUCGGACAAAGGCGAAGCUGCAAAGCAACCAGUUCAGGGUGGACCCCGCCGACUGCCCGAAGACAACCGGGAUAUGCUCCAGCGCUCCUCGCGACCCUUCUGAGGAUCAGCGGAUCAGAAAAUGGAUGGAUGGAUGGAGAAAAAUAGCUCAUCUCUGCCCUUCUUAGCUCCUUGCAGAGGAUAAAGAAUACGACUGUGAAAGCAUCCAGGUGAGGAGAAAGCGUGAAGACGCCCCACUUCAAAGCUCCUUUCAUGUACGCGGAUCCCCGAGCCGCCGCCGCCGACGCGUCUUUGAAGCGAGCGGCAACAAAGCGGGCGGAGAGGUGUCGCCGUGACAACGGGAGAAGAAGAAGAAGAAGCGCCGAGGCCACAGGGCGGCCCCGUCACGCUUGCUCGCCGUUUGUUUUCCAGAUCGCGAAGGGGAAAGUGAAUAUGGCAACACGCUUCACGCAACGGGACAGAUUGCUUUGGAUGAUCUUCGGGGACAGCGGGCUUUUGAGGAAGCACGCCUCGCACCACCGGAUCAUCGGUUAGGAUCAUCUUCGGAACCACCAACUAUCUGCCGGGACCGAGGAAAGCAAGCGUCUCCAGCGACCCGACCGGGAUCAGGCGGAAAGGUGAGGACAGCUUUAAGGGCCCGGGCCUAGUAACAUCUUCCGUGUUGUUCUUCUUCAACGUCGACUUAAAAAGAAUGGAUGAAAGGGGAAGACAUAAAUUAGGGUUCGCCGUGAAGCUGUCAGCAGCAGUACAUAUGCGCUUUUCACAUGUUCCCCCCCAAACAAAUAGAGGCCAGAAAAUAUAACAUAAUACGUUCAAACCUACUGCGCUGCAGGGUCUCGGUUUGCAGGCCUGCUAUUUUGUUGAUUUAUUAUAUAUGAAAUGAACAUUUUAA